rnacentral:lncRNA from 1 species
CUAGUACCUGCACGUGUCCCAAAAAAUCCCAAAUUAGACCUAGGGCCCCUUUCAGCCAAUAUCGCAAUUCUGGCACGGCGGCUCCACCGUGCUCCGGCGACGGCGUCACUGCUUGCGAUGGCGAUUUGCCUCAGGUUGGCCGUUUUCGGCCGAAUUCGGCCACGCUUGCAUCGGUCCCUGCGAUAGAACGACCCUAGGGCCCUCGGUGGGCCAAAAAAUCACGAAAAACCGAAGCUUACCGGCGGCGGUGCUCUCGGGUGCGGUGGCUCUCCGGCGUGAAUCGUGUUUUGGUGAUUUGGCUCUGAUCAACCUAUAGAGAAAAGAACGGUGAUCACAGUUGUAUAAAAUUUGCAUCGAACGGAGGCCGGGAAGGGCCUCAUUGGAGGCAAAAAU